rnacentral:lncRNA from 1 species
UGGCGAAUAGAAAAAGAAGUAAUUUCAGGAAAAGGCCAGUUUUUUUGUGGAAAUAAGUGUUGUGAUGAAAAAGAAGGUUUGAAGAGCUGGGAAGUCAACUUUGGUUAUACUGAGCAUGGUGAAAAGAGAAAUGCGCUUGUUAAGUUAAGACAUUCAUCCUCGAAAAGGUCAGAAGAUUCUAGAAACAGAAACGCUGGUGAGGAAGACAGUGCUUCAGACUCUGAGCUCUGGAAGGGUCCACUGCCAGAGACAGAUGAAAAGUCACAGGAAGAAGAAUUUGAUGAUUAUUUUCAGGAUUUGUUUCUGUGACCUGGGAGAGAGAACCUUGUUUAUUUCUUGGAAGAAACAUUCGGUCUGCUCACAUGAUGACCUCCUUUUUGGUCGGGUCGGCGGUUACAUAUUUGAUGGUUUCUUCUUCGCUUUGCAUCUGUUCACAGGCCCAUUGGUGUUUUGCCUGCGUGUAUGUCUGUAAGGGAGUUAGAUGCCCUGGAGCGAGCUGCCAUGUGGGUGAUGGGAAUUGAAAGAGCGGUCAUGGAGCCAUCUCUCCAGCCCGACAUCUGGUCUUUUUGUUGUUGUUGUUGUUGUUUUUAAUCUCCUGAUUUGAGUAAAUUUCUCUAUUCUACUUUGAGCAAGGUCAUUCAAAAUCUAAGAAUAGCCUCAGAAACUCCACGUCUACCUCUUUGGAAUAAAUAAAUUGUUCU